GGCCGCCGAAGCGUCGCUCAUCCCUGAUAUCCCGAUCCGCCGCCCGCCCCAUUUUCUUCGUUGCCCUAGCGGAGCUUCUCUCGCGAUUUCUGGUGAAGCUUGACAUACAUAUCGACAUACAUUGAGGAACGAUGGCUAUAGAAGAAUGCACCCGGAAAGUAUAUUCUGAUAGCGAUGAUGAUGCACCGUUAGUCUUUAAACGGAAUAUUCCUGCAGCUAAACAAGGUCAGUCGAGCUCAGCUCCAAGAAAGGUA
rnacentral:misc_RNA from 1 species